ensembl:snRNA U6 U6 spliceosomal RNA
GCCCAUUUUGGCUGCACAUGCACUAAAACUGGAAUGAUACAGAGAAGAUUAGCAUGGCUCCUUUGCAAGGAUGACAAGCAAACUCAGGAAAAAAGACAAGGGACA